rnacentral:lncRNA from 1 species
GGGAGGAAAGAAUGUUUCCCCUUGAAGAGAGAAAAUAUACUCCUCUCUCACUUAGAACAACAACCCCCCCACACACACACACAUACAGAGAGAGAGAGAGAGAGAGAGAGAGAGAGAGAGAGAGAGAGAGAGAGAGAGGAUAGGGGCAGGCUUAUUAAUGGAGAAAUGUGCAUAAUGUAUAUUCUGGCCAUAAUCUUUUCUCCCUUAGGUUUUUUGUCAAGCUGUGCAAAAGAAAAUCUCUGAAAGAUGGGCUAUGUCCACAGGAGAAUACUUCUAACUGUGAAGAAUCAGAAUCCUUCAGGACAUUUGCAGCGUUCAGAUGGGAUUCCCUUUUUCCAUCAAGGGUGGAUUUACUUGCAUAUGAUGCGCCUUGUGGCUUUCUGCAGAUUAUACCUCAUCAUGGUGGCAGUGACUCCUUCUGGCUCCCUAAUUCCGCAGUUUCCACAGGCUAAGGUAGACAAAAUGGCUACUGAGGAAAAGGACUUGGCUUCCACCUGGGUCCUUACAGAAUACUGUUUCACACCUUCAUGGCCAUGCCUAUUACAUUGUUCAUUCCUCGUGUGUUUACAAUCUCCUCAACAUGGUGGGCACCAAAACAAAAUGUUGUAA